ACCACCAUCUUCUUCGAUGUAGAGAAGAUGACGGGUGAAGUUGAAAUCAUCGUUUCUAAUCUAAUUCAACUUAAAAAUGAAAACGGACAUCAAGAUUUGACAGAAGCUCUUUUGUGAAACCUUAGGAGACUUGGCAAAGAGAUUAAGCAUUUUUGUAACCCUAAAAUUCUCCAUCGGUAAAGAAGAACAAGAAGGGAGACCUAUUGCUCCUCCAUCAGCCACUAGAGGUUGUUGGAGGUGAUGUUACUGCUCCGCCCCAUACACCUGCAAAGAGGGAUUUCAACUUGGCGAAACAUCCAGAUAUUGAUAGGCUUAUCUUAAAUAUAGCAGUGAUUAAGCUUAUGCAAAGCUUUAAAUCAAGCCAAUAAGUUCGUGGAACAUUUUCUUGGACACAUUCCUAUUGGAUUUUGGAAUGAUGAUGGUUAUGCGAGGGUGGUAAGCCUACUGGAUCGAAUUCAGUCCAAGUUGUUGGAGAAACCGCGAAAUGAGAACUAGAUUGGAGUUUGGGGAAAAUUUUGGAUGUUGGUAAUAGUAUGUAUCGAGAAUUGCUGAUAAAGCUUCCAGAGAAGAAACCACAGUGCAUCGAAAAUCUAGUGAUUUAGUGAGAGACUGGAUUACAAAAGAAGGCCAGUAGCAUCUGAAACUUCUCAAGAGAAGCUACUUACGAUGGGGCCGCAUAUAUAUGUGCCACAGCUGAGCUUACACCUCUUCCAGCAAAUACCGUUCCAUUGUUACUCGCUGAUCGCAGAGGUUAUGGGGGUUUCAACCAACCUGCUAACAACGUGCAACCACUCAAGGAAGGUUCUGGCAAUCUGUUUUUGAUGCGCGAACUGACCCCUGAGAACCUGAGGUACCACCACCUUCAAAAUAUGUCUUACAUGUUGGCAUUAAUUUCAUUUGUUUAGGUUCCUUUGAUUGUCCUCUUAAUUCCCCCUUGAACCUUUAUACGUCAUACUUAGGGGAGACUCGACCAGAGAGUUCGCCAGAAAUAUGGAUGACCAUGGAAUCAAUGUUGCACCUAUGGUUGUUGUUACGGGCGGGUGCAUAUGAGAAAUAUUAUCGGAGUACACACUAUAAUGCUAAUAUCCCUUUA